UACGGAGGGAGCUAGCGUUAAUCGGAUUUACUGGGUGUAAAGGGCGCGUAGGCGGCAUGAUGUGAGCGGUGUGAAAGCCCCGGGCUUAACCUGGGAAGCGCACUGCAGACUGUCGUGCUGGAGUACAUGAGAGGGUGGCGGAAUUUCCGGUGGAGCGGUGAAAUGCGUAGAGAUCGGAAAGAACACCAACGGCGAAAGCACUCUGCUGGGCCGACACUGACACUGAGAGACGAAAGCUAGGGGAGCGAAUGGG
rnacentral:rRNA from 1 species